rnacentral:misc_RNA from 1 species
GAUGAAGAACGUAGUGAAAUGCAAUAAGUAAUGUGAAUUGCAGAAUUCAGUGAAUCAUCGAAUCUUUGAACGCACAUUGCGCCCGCUAGUAUUCUGGCGGGCAUGCCUGUUCGAGCGUCAUUUCAACCAUCAAGCCCUAGGCUUGUGUUGGAGCCCUGCGGCUGUCCGCAGCCUCCUAAAAACAGUGGCGGGCUCGCUAUCACACCGAGUGCAGUAGUUUACUCCUCGCUCAGGGCGUGUGGCGGGUUCCGGCCGUAAAACUCCCUAUUUCUAAAGGUUGACCUCGGAUCAGGUAGGAAUACCCGCUGAACUUAAGCAUAUCAAUAAGCGGAGGA